rnacentral:rRNA from 1 species
UACAGGGGUCUCAAGCGUUGUUCGGAUUCAUUGGGCGUAAAGGGUGCGUAGGCGGCGCGGUAAGUCGGGUGUGAAAUCUCGGAGCUUAACUCCGAAACUGCAUUCGAUACUGCCGUGCUUGAGGACUGGAGAGGAGACUGGAAUUUACGGUGUAGCGGUGAAAUGCGUAGAGAUGGGGGAGAACACUCGUGGCGAAGGCGGCCAGCUAGACCAGUUCUGACACUGAGGCGCGACAGCGUGGGGAGCAAACAGG